UACGGAAGGCAGCAGUGGGGAAUAUUGCACAAUGGGCGAAAGCCUGAUGCAGCUAUGCCGCGUGUAUGAAGAAGGCCUUAGGGUUGUAAAGUACUUUCAUCGGGGAGGAAAAAAACAAAACUAAUAAUUUUAUUUCUUGACGUUACCCGAAAAAGAAGCACCGGCUAACUCCGUGCCAGCAGCCGCGGUAAUACGGAGGGUGCUAGCGUUAAUCAGAAUUACUGGGCGUAAAGAGCACGUAGGUGGUUUUUUUAAAGUCAGAUGUGAAAUCCCUGGGCUUAACCUAGGAACUGCAUUUUGAAACUGAAAUACUAGAGUAUCGUAGAGGGAGGUAGAAUUCUAGGUGUAGCGGUGAAAUGCGUAGAUAUCUGGAGGAAUACCUGUGGCGAAAGCGGCCUCCUAAACGAAUACUGACACUGAGGUGCGAAAGCGUGGGGAGCAAACAGGGAUUAGAUACC
rnacentral:rRNA from 1 species